ensembl:piRNA 21ur-4068 ncRNA
AGAGAAUCCAUAGCUGUUACA